rnacentral:rRNA from 1 species
AUGUAUGAUGCUCUGGUUCAUAAUGAGGUUCCGGUUGACAACAGAAAAUUGUGGAAGCUCAAAAUACCUCUAAGAAUGAAGAUUUUUCUCUGGUUUCUUAAUAGAGGGGUCAUAUUAACUAGGGAUAAUUUGGCACGGCUCAACUGGCAAGGGAGCAAAUGUGUCUUCUGUCAGCACAACGAGUCUAUUAAACACUUAUUUUUUGAGUGC